rnacentral:rRNA from 1 species
CCUACGGGUGGCAGCAGUGGGGGAUAUUGCACAAUGGGGGGAACCCUGAUGCAGCGACGCCGCGUGGGUGAAGGAGUGCUUCGGCAUGUAAAGCCCUAUCGGCAGGGAAGAAGCAAGACGGUACCGGACGAAGAAGCCCCGGCUAACUACGUGCCAGCAGCCGCGGUAAUACGUCGGGGGCGAGCGUUCUCCGGAUCCACGGGGUGUAAAGGGAGCGUAGACGGCCAGGCAAGGCAGGGGUGCAAGCCCGGGGCCCAACCCCGGGACUGCCCUUUCAACUGCCUGGCUGGAGUGCGGGAGGGGCAGGCGGAAUUCCUGGUGUAGCGGUGCAAUGCGUAGAUAUCAGGAGGAACACCGGCGGCGACGGCGGCCUGCUGGACCGCGACUGACGUUGAGGCUCGAAAGCGUGGGGAGCGAACAGGAUUAGAUACCCCUGUAGUC